rnacentral:lncRNA from 10 species
GGGGUUUCCUGCUUUAUGGCGAAGGACGGAGUUUUGCUCUUGUUGCCCAAGCUGGAGUGCAAUGGUGCGAUCUUCGCUUACUGCAACCUCUGCUUCCUGGGUUCAAGUGAUUCCCCUGCCUCAGCCUCCCGAGUAGCAGGGAUUACAGUCUUCAAAUAAGUGUUUACGUAGAAGCACCAUAUCUGAAACAGGUGACAGUGGACCAGUCUGAAUGAAAUGAGGGUUGGCAGGCCUGAGCUCCAAAACCUUCUGAUUGCCCAAGCCCUCCUUGUCUUGCUUGGAUUAUCUCCACACAAAUGGAGAAACUGGACAAGGUGGUCAUGGAGGUCCCUGAAAGCUCAAAGACUUUCUCAUUCCAGGAUUCCCCAUGUUCAUAUGCCAGCAUGGCAUGGGGGUGCUCUGUAGUCAAGCAGGGUCCUUUGGGGGGCUUAGGGAUGGAGCCAGGAAAUGGCUCUGGGACUCAGCGGGUGUCCAGAGUCUCAUCAGCAGGGUUUCUUUACUUUCACUGAGUGGCUGGUGCCUGCACACUGAGUUUUGCAGGCUUACUCUCACAGAGUGAGCUUCCUGCAGGCCCCCCACUGCAACCCCUUUCCUUCCUGGAGCUGUGUGCUGACUGGUGCGUGAGCACCCCAGGCCCUCUCCCCAUGCUGCUGAUGGUCAGCUUUCUCUGCACGCUCGUGGUUGCCACAGUCAACGCUGAUAAAAUUGCUGAUGCAGAUUGCCUGCCCAGCUGCGAGUGCUGGCACGGGACCAGCAGCCCAGACGGUCACUGGAAGUGGUUGGGCUGAUUAUUGGCAUCAUCUCCAUUGUCCUACUCGGUUCUUAAAGGCAUAUGGACUUGCCUCACUCCUACAGCAAAUGACGGCAUGGGCAAAGAGGGGCAACAGACCCACCCUGAAGACACUCCUCAUCUGGUUGACUUGGCAGGGUUAAGGGAAAAAGAUGUGAUGACUAGGAGCUGAGAGCUUAGUGGUUCUGCCAGAGCUGCAGAGUCUUUGUUGGCCUCAGGGUGGGACCUCUCACAUCUCUGUCAGCUUUUCACGGACACCAACCUGUUAUGAUUCAUUUCACCUGUCCUGAGCACUAGCAAGAAAAAUUCGCUGUAGCUUGUGAUGUAUUAUUCUGGAUUUCUCAACUCAUUCAUUUGUUCAUUCAUUCACUAUACCAUUACUGUCUAUUAUAAGGGGGGCACAAUGGUAGGUGCUGGGAAUAAAAACGAUGUUUAACGUUU